UGUAGUUUCAACGAUGAGGCAUAUAUGUCAACUAUGGGCGUUGGCUCCAACAAUUCACAUUGGUCUCGAACCAAUGACAUGCAUUCCGAUGAACAUGAGUUCGAGGUGGAUGAGGAUGGUGAGGGCAUUGUCGACACACCGAAAGGACGAGGAGGCAACUACACUAAUGAUGAAGACGUCUUGCUAUGCAAUACUUUGUUGCAAGUGUCGAGGGAUCCAUCCAUUGGAGGUGAUCAAAGUAGAGAUGCUUAUUGGAACCAGAUGAAGGAGCAUUUUGAUCUACACAACAAGAGUGGAAUUGACCGCUCGAAAUGA
rnacentral:rRNA from 1 species